rnacentral:rRNA from 1 species
GGGUACGAUCAUACUAGCACUAAUGCAAUGGAUCCCAUCAAAAUUCCAUAGUUAAGUGUGCUUGGCAAGAGUAGUACUAGAAUGGGUGACCUCUUGGGAAGUCCUCAUGUUGCACCCC